CCUACGGGUGACAGCAGUGGGGAAUAUUGGGCAAUGGGCGCAAGCCUGACCCAGCAACGCCGCGUGAAGGAAGAAGGCUUUCGGGUUGUAAACUUCUUUUCUGAGGGACGAAGAGAGUGCCGUUACUGCAGGAUCAAGCCAUGCCUAACUACGUGCCAGCAGCCGCGGGAAUACGGAGGGGGCAAGUGUUAUCCGGAUUUCUUGGGUGUAAGGGGCGUGUAGGCGGGAAAGCAAGUCAGAUGUGAAAACUCAGGGCUCAACCCUGAGCCUGCAUUUGAAACUGUUUUUCUUGAGUACUGGAGAGGCAGACGGAAUUCCGAGUGUAGCGGUGAAAUGCGUAGAUAUACGGAGGAACACCAGUGGCGAAGGCGGAUUGCUGGACAGUAACUGACGCUGAGGCGCGAAAGCGUGGGGAGCAAACAGGAUUAGAUACCCCUGUAGUC
rnacentral:rRNA from 1 species